GACGUAGGGUGCAAGCGUUGUCCGGAUUUAUUGGGCGUAAAGAGCUCGUAGGCGGCUUGUUGCGUCGACUGUGAAAACUGGGGGGCUCAACCCCCCAGCCUGCAGUGGGUACGGGCAGACUAGAGUGCGGUAGGGGAGAUUGGAAUUCCUGGUGUAGCGGUGGAAUGCGCAGAUAUCAGGAGGAACACCAGUGGCGAAGGCGGCCAUCUGGCUCAACAUUGACGCUGAGGCACGAAAGCGUGGGGAGCAAACAGG
rnacentral:rRNA from 1 species